UUGCCUGCUUACCCUCUGAGUCUGGAGUGGUUGAAUUUUGAUCCUAGUCCAGAUGAAUCAACAGGAAAUUAUGUUGCAGUGGGUAACAUGACCCCAGUCAUUGAUAUUUGGGACCUUGAUGUAGUAGAAUCCUUGGAACCAGUCUUUUCUCUUGGAGUCAAGAAAGAGAAAAAGAAGAAAAAGAAAGGAAAGAAAAAUUUAUCUUCAGAAGGGACUGUGGAAGGACAUACUGAUGCUGUGCUUGAUCUUUCAUGGAAUAAACA